AACGUAGGUGGCGAGCGUUAUCCGGAAUUACUGGGCGUAAAGCGUGCGCAGGCGGUUUUGUAAGUUUGUCGUGAAAGCCCCGGGCUCAACCUGGGAAUUGCGAUGAAGACUGCAAGGCUUGAAUCUGGCAGAGGGGGGUAGAAUUCCACGUGUAGCAGUGAAAUGCGUAGAGAUGUGGAAGAACACCGAUGGCGAAGGCAGCCCCCUGGGUCAAGAUUGACGCUCAUGCACGAAAGCGUGGGGAGCAAACAGG
rnacentral:rRNA from 1 species